rnacentral:piRNA from 1 species
UGCAAGAAGAUGGGCAUUAAGACAGUUGCCA